ensembl:lncRNA
AGUACAGCAGCAGUGUGUUGGGCAGUACAGUAGCAGUGUGUUGGGCAGUACAGUAGCACAGUGUUGGGCUGGGCAGUAGCAGUGUGUUGGGCUGGGCAGUAGCAGUGUGUUGGGCUGGGCAGUACAGUAGCAGUGUGUUGGGCUGGGCAGUACAGUAGCAGUGUGUUGGGCUGGGCAGUACAGUAGCAGUGUGUUGGGCUGGGCAGUACAGUAGCAGUGUGUUGGGCUGGGCAGUACAGUAGCAGUGUGUUGGGCUGGGCAGUAGCAGUGUACAGUAGCAGUGUGUUGGGCUGGGCAGUACAGUAGCAGUGUGUUGGGCUGGGCAGUAGCAGUAGCAGUGUGUUGGGCUGGGUACAGUAGCAGUGUGUUGGGCUGGGCAGUAGCAGUGUGUUGGGCUGGGCAGUACAGUAGCAGCAGCAGUAUGUUGGGCUGGGCAGUACAGUAGCAGUGUGUUGGGCUGGGCAGUACAGUAGCAGUGUGUUGGGCUGGGCAGUAGCAGUGUGUUGGGCAGUACAGUAGCAGUGUGUUGGGCUGGGCUGUACAGUAGCAGUGUGUUGGGCAGUACAGUAGCAGUGUGUUGGGCUGGGCAGUACAGCAGUGUGUUGGGCUGGGCAGUACAGUAGCAGUGUGUUGGGCUGGGCAGUACAGUAGCAGUGUGUUGGGCUGGGCAGUACAGUAGCAGUGUGUUGGGCUGGGCAGUACAGUAGCAGUGUGUUGGGCUGGGCAGUAGCAGCAGUGUGUUGGGCUGGGCAGUAGCAGUGUGUUGGGCUGGGCAGUACAGUAGCAGUGUGUUGGGCUGGGCAGUACAGUAGCAGUGUGUUGGGCUGGGCAGUACAGUAGCAGUGUGUUGGGCUGGCAGUACAGUAGCAGUGUGUUGGGCUGGGCUGUACAGUAGCAGUGUGUUGGGCUGUACAGUAGCAGUGUGUUGGGCUGGGCAGUACAGUAGCAGUGUGUUGGGCUGGGCAGUACAGUAGCAGUGUGUUGGGCUGGGGUACAGUAGCAGUGUGUUGGGCAGUACAGUAGCAGUGUGUUGGGCUGGGCAGUAGCAGUGUGUUGGGCUGGGCAGUACAGUAGCAGUGUGUUGGGCUGGGCAGUAGCAGUGUGUUGGGCUGGGCUGUACAGUAGCAGUGUGUUGGGCUGGGCAGUAGCAGUGUGUUGGGCUGGGCUGUACAGUAGCAGUGUGUUGGGCUGGGCUGGGCAGUAGCAGUGUGUUGGGCUGGGCUGUACAGUAGCAGUGUGUUGGGCUGGGCAGUACAGUAGCAGUGUGUUGGGCUGGGCUGUACAGUAGCAGUGUUGGGCUGGGCUGGGCAGUAGCAGUGUGUUGGGCUGGGCAGGCACAGUGUGUUGGGCUGGGCAGUACAGUAGCAGGAACUGGCUGUACUGGCUGAGCAGUGGUGACAUUCUGGGUGUUGAUCACCUACUGAGUAGUGAUCACGUCAGCCUGGGUAACCAUGACAUCAUUCUGGGUAACCAGGACAUCAUUCUGGGUAACCAGGACAUCAUUCUGGGUAACCAUGACAUCAUUCCGGGCCGGCGAUGACAUCAACACUUGUCUCCCAGUUUGAGAAAGCGCUGUGAUUUUU